rnacentral:rRNA from 1 species
GAUGAACGCUGGCGGCGUGCCUAAUACAUGCAAGUCGAGCGAAUGGAUUGAGAGCUUGCUCUUAUGAAGUUAGCGGCGGACGGGUGAGUAACACGUGGGUAACCUGCCCAUAAGACUGGGAUAACUCCGGGAAACCGGGGCUAAUACCGGAUAACAUUUUGAACCGCAUGGUUCGAAAUUGAAAGGCGGCUUCGGCUGACACUUAUGGAUGGACCCGCGUCGCAUUAGCUAGGUGGUGAGGUAACAGCUCACCAAGGCAACGAUGCGUAGCCGACCUGAGAGGGUGAUCGGCCACACUGGGACUGAGACACGGCCCAGACUCCUACGGGAGGCAGCAGUAGGGAAUCUUCCGCAAUGGACGAAAGUCUGACGGAGCAACGCCGCGUGAGUGAUGAAGGCUUUCGGGUCGUAAAGCUCUGUUGUUAGGGAAGAACAAGUGCUAGUUGAAUAAGCUGGCACCUUGACGGUACCUAACCAGAAAGCCACGGCUAACUACGUGCCAGCAGCCGCCGUAA